UUCUUUACAACCAAUAGGAUUUUUUAUAUAUAUUUUACAUGGUUACUGAUCAAUCUUAUUGAUUGAAUUUUUGUUUUAUAAAUUAUUUAUAUCUGUUCUACAUUUCUAUAUGUGCUUAUUUGGUAAGUCUUGACAUAUUGUCUUUCAGGGGUUUUACAUUCCAUAAAUAUAUAUACACUUUGUAUUGUUGACAUAAAAAAAUGUUGCCUUGAUUAUAUUUAAAUUUAAAGUAAUAACAAUCUUUCUUUAAUUGUCCCUUCAUGAAUCAAGAAAUUAUAAAAAUUUAAGGUUUCAACUCCUUCAGGCAAGGUUGACUAAAGAUUUGGCUGUUUUCCUAGUCAUGGUUUGGUCCUAGAAUGUAUAAGAAACGAAACAGUUGAAGAACUAUAUGACCAAAAAGGACUUUAAGGAUGUACUUAGGUGAGGUUUUGGAAUUUGUGUCAAAUGUUCGGACUCCUUGGUGUUUUUCCAUAUAAUACAAUGUAAAUUAUUUUGCCCCAGAACACCCAUUUAUUUUUUCAUUUAAGACUAAAUAGCUCAUGAAAGGUCAUUUACCAAAAUUUUAUAAUAUUCUUGAUUUUCUUUCUUUUGUUUUGAGACCCAAAUUAUACCAAUGCAAAUAUAAGGUAAAAAUCCGAGUCAGCCUUUUCCCGCCAUAUUUUAAAUCUCAAAUAUCUCAAAAAGGAGGUCCAUGACCUAUCAAUAUUUUUAGCUUAUCUUUAUCCUUAAUUGAUGCUCUACCAGCUUAAAGUAUCAAUUUUAAUUCUUAAUUUCUUAAUUUUUACCUAACCUCACCUAAGCACAUCCUUAGAAUAAAAAUAAAAAAACAAUCUAAGGUCAACUGUCUGUUGGAUUUGGCUUUUUACAUGAUAUAAAGGGAAAAUCAAUGCUUGAUUUUUGAGUAGUAGCCUAAUUGAAUUCCACUUUUUUCUAUUUAUUAUAUACAACUGUUAUUUGAUUGUACCAUCAGGGAUUUUAUUUUCUGAUUCGUUAUGUGUUUG
rnacentral:lncRNA from 1 species